UCACAUCACAGUUCGCAGCAUUGCAGCUUGUACAUUUCCCGGCUUGUCCACAAGACCCGUGACCAAUGAGUAAUCUUCAAACUCUGCCUUGAAAACAUCCCAGUUCACACUCCAGUUGCCGGAAAGGCUCAUAGGAGACGUUGGCGGCACGUUAGCAGCCAUGUUCGCUCCUGCUUCUGACUCCCAUUGUGAGGCAGCCUGCGCGUUUGCACUGCUGGGCACGUCUCCACUAUCAACUGCCAGUCUCUACUGCAACAAAGCCUCAUCACAAAUAAGAGCGUAAGAUCACAAUGAAAAGGAAAUUUAAAAAUGGAGACAUUUCCAGUUUCUUUGGCAAGAAAGUGACGGAUGAAAAGGAAGAAGAGACGGUGAGAUUUGAGAAAGGAAGAAUGAUAGAGAGACCAGGAGGGUCACAGGUGAAGGAGGCCACUUAAAGGGCAACAGGUGAAGAAAUGAGUGAAAUGAGGAAAAUGAUGUUGGCCUAAGCGGUGAAGACGAGAAGAUUUUAGAGUCAGAGAGAUUGAAAGAAGACAGUGCAGAGGAAACUGAUGAUGAUGAGAAGGAAGACACAGAGCCUAUCCAGCUGGACCACCUGAUCAGUGAACUUCAGUGAAGAUGUCCAGCAUUGCAACCCUGUCUAGACCCUUUUGCGCCUCCUUCACCCCCGCAUGUAAAAUGUUCUAGAUAUGCCACUGCCCCGGAGAGCACUGAGCGAAGAGGAAAAUAGAAAUCCACUUCCACGGUUUAUGCUAAUAUAUGGAUACCCGUAUCGGCCAAAACUCUAAUUUACCUGGCGCUUUAUGUGCACAUUUCAGGCGCACACUUCAAAUAAAGAACUUCAUUAUCUGAAUAAAAUAAAUGUGUAAAUGGGCAAGUUUUUUGAAUGGUCCUGAAAGGCACAGGGGCAGGAUUUCAAAAUAAAAUCCAUCUCCCCCUCUCUUUGUCAUGACAUGUUAAACACAUGUUCACCAGGAGGUGAAGUGAAGAAAUGAACUAAAACUGAAUAUCAGAGACAGAAAAGUGUCUCAAUGUUUUCAUUUACUGUGGUUCCUUAUUCAGUCGUUUAUAUAAACAUCUGAUUAACUAUUAAAGGGGAGGUAUAAUGCAAAAUCCA